UUUGUUGCACAUUCCUAUCUGUAUCUAUAUUUAGAUUGAUGGUAUUGAAUUGUGAUGUCCGUUUAAUAUAUCUAUGCCUUGUAGAAGUGUAUUGAGCAUUAUUUGAUCUGUUGUCACCUCUACUCAAGGCUGGUGUGUAAGGAACAACGCAGCUUCCAUGCUCAGGAUAGGAGAGAGAAUUUUUAAAAAAUUGAAAGAUAUCUUCAAAAACAUCUUACUGUAUAGUAUCUAAAUUAGCAAGUUCUAAAUGAACAGUGUGUGGC
rnacentral:lncRNA from 1 species